AAUCCAUAGGUUAAUGAGGCGAACCGGGGGAACUGAAACAUCUAAGUACCCCGAGGAAAAGAAAUCAACCGAGAUUCCCCCAGUAGCGGCGAGCGAACGGGGAGGAGCCCAGAGCCUGAAUCAGCAUGUGUGUUAGUGGAAGCGUCUGGAAAGGCGCGCGAUACAGGGUGACAGCCCCGUACACAAAAGCACAUGUGCUGUGAGCUCGAUGAGUAGGGCGGGACACGUGGUAUCCUGUCUGAAUAUGGGGGGACCAUCCUCCAAGGCUAAAUACUCCUGACUGACCGAUAGUGAACCAGUACCGUGAGGGAAAGGCGAAAAGAACCCCGGCGAGGGGAGUGAAAAAGAACCUGAAACCGU
rnacentral:rRNA from 1 species